rnacentral:rRNA from 1 species
AGAGUUUGAUCCUGGCUCAGGACGAACGCUGGCGGCGUGCUUAACACAUGCAAGUCGAACGGAAAGGCCCUGCUUGCAGGGUACUCGAGUGGCGAACGGGUGAGUAACACGUGGGUGAUCUGCCCUGCACUUCGGGAUAAGCCUGGGAAACUGGGUCUAAUACCGGAUACGACCAGUCACCGCAUGGUGUGCUGGUGGAAAGCUUUAGCGGUUUUGGAUGGACUCGCGGCCUAUCAGCUUGUUGGUGGGGUAAUGGCCUACCAAGGCGACGACGGGUAGCCGGCCUGAGAGGGUGACCGGCCACACUGGGACUGAGACACGGCCCAGACUCCUACGGGAGGCAGCAGUAGGGAAUAUUGGUCAAUGGAUGCAAGUCUGAACCAGCCAUGCCGCGUGCAGGAAGAAGGCCUUCUGGGUUGUAAACUGCUUUUGUCAGGGGAUAAAAUGGGCGUGCGCGCCUAAUUGAAGGUACCUGGCGAAUAAGCCACGGCUAACUACGUGCCAGCAGCCGCGGUAAUACGUAGGGCGCGAGCGUUGUCCGGAAUUAUUGGGCGUAAAGAGCUUGUAGGCGGUUUGUCGCGUCUGCUGUGAAAGCCCGGGGCUUAACCCCGGGUUUGCAGUGGGUACGGGCAGACUAGAGUGCAGUAGGGGAGACUGGAAUUCCUGGUGUAGCGGUGAAAUGCGCAGAUAUCAGGAGGAACACCAAUGGCGAAGGCAGGUCUCUGGGCUGUAACUGACGCUGAGAAGCGAAAGCAUGGGGAGCGAACAGGAUUAGAUACCCUGGUAGUCCAUGCCGUAAACGUUGGGCACUAGGUGGGGAACAUUCCACGUUUUCCGCGCCGUAGCUAACGCAUUAAGUGCCCCGCCUGGGGAGUACGGCCGCAAGGCUAAAACUCAAAGGAAUUGACGGGGGCCCGCACAAGCGGCGGAGCAUGCGGAUUAAUUCGAUGCAACGCGAAGAACCUUACCAAGGCUUGACAUGUGCCAGACCGCUCCAGAGAUGGGGUUUCCCUUCGGGGCUGGUUCACAG